CACUGUUAUAUUUUGUGCAAUUUUCGAAUGAAUGGGAGAAAGCAUAAGUAAGAAAGAGAAAACCUGUCGACUUUCUAGCUUAUCGAAAUAUUAAUAAGUUAAAAGAGAAAAGGCGGUACACAAUUUUUCAAAAAGAAGUAUUAAUAACUAAGCUUGGAAAUGCGCAAUAGUUUGGUUACUUAUUUCUUAUUUGAUCAAUAUUUAAAUACGAAUAUUGCUUUUAAAUAUUUCUACACUCGUGGCCACGCAAAGUUUACCACUAUACUGUUUUAGAUUUGUAAUAGGUCUUUUUGGUUCGUUCGGGAUUUUCUUCAAUUUUGUUUUUUGUUAAGAUUUUAGUAAGCAGAAGUAAACUAAAUUAUAUUAUCUCAUCAUAAUUAUAGUUUUUAAAUUGUUACUUUGUUUGUUGAGCAAAACUACAGGUUAUAGUGUUGAGAAAUAUGCACAGCACUUGAAAAUUUUGAGUGAUUAACAAGAGGAGAAAGAAUGUUUGAAACAACUUUAUAAAAAUGGCUGUACAUUGCUAGUAGUGAUAUCACACGAUAUCUGUUUAAUUUGCAGCGGCUUGGUGGUUAUACGUUUAAUCAAACCGCUGCCUUUGAAACUGCACAAUGAAAGAGAAACUUUGCAAUACGAGUAUCAUCUAUGACAUCGAGAUGGAACAUUACCCAAUGGUUGUGUGAUAAGGGUUUUGAGGCUGGGUCAGUGUUUAACACCAUACAAAUGGGCGAUAUCGAUAUCUGACCGAAAUUGUAUAAGCAUAUCGUGCGCGUGUGGAUGUUACUGAAAAUGAAAAAAUGUUACAGAAAAAAAAAAAAAAAUUCUAAUAUUCACAAAUUUCAAAUUCAUCUUGAAGAUUCGCUACAAAUAAAAGAUUUGGUUGUUAUUUUGGCUGAGAUGGCAAAGGAUCGCGGUGGUGUUUGGAUAUGUGUAGGAAACAAGAAAAUUAAGAAAAGUAUUACCGACACCUUCAAGGAGCUCACAACUUCUCUAUUGGUACAUAACCAUUUUAACCCUGAGUACUAAAAUUAACCCACAUUUUAUGUUUUGACAAGCAAAGGUUGUCAUCAUUAGUUAAAUAUCUGAAAUAUUUGAUAUUUGCUUUUGUUCUCAGUAGGCUUAGAUGCUAACAGUACCAAUCACACAAACUUUGUUUUUAGAAA